rnacentral:tRNA from 1 species
UCCCUGAUAUUCAGUGGUUAAGACUGCGCUUUCACUGCAGAGGGCACAGGUUUGAUCCCUGGUCAGGGAA